GAAUCCUACGGGGGGCAGCAGUGGGGAAUAUUGCACAAUGGGGGAAACCCUGAUGCAGCAACGCCGCGUGAGUGAAGAAGUCAUUCGUGAUGUAAAGCUCUAUCAGCAGGGAAGAAAAUGACGGUACCUGAGUAAGAAGCCCCGGCUAACUACGUGCCAGCAGCCGCGGUAAUACGUAGGGGGCAAGCGUUAUCCGGAAUUACUGGGUGUAAAGGGAGCGUAGACGGCUGUGCAAGUCUGGAGUGAAAGGCGGGGGCCCAACCCCCGGACUGCUCUGGAAACUGUAUGGCUGGAGGGCAGGAGGG
rnacentral:rRNA from 1 species